GCUAAGCCACUAGUUAGCCAUAGAGGCCAGGCAGUGGUAGCACACACCUUGGAUCCUAGCCCUUGGAAUCUCACACUUUUAAUUCCAGCACUAGAGAGGUGGAGACAAGAAGUGAAAUGGCUGGGCAAAGAGAGGAAUAUAAGGCAGGAGGAGAUAGGAGCUCAGCUCCCUUUCAGGCUGAGAACUCAGUAGAGAACACUGUACAAAACAAACUGGCAGUUGGCACCACAGAGUCAAGACUAUAACAACAUAUUACAGCAGUGUGAAAAAGCUCCUCUCCCGAGACUUGGUCCCCAGAAAGCAGAUUUCCUGGAAAAAGAUACAACAAUCCAGAGCUGCCAAAAAUUCACUGUGAGAUGGGAGUUCAUCUGUUUGCAAUUAAUACAUAACUCAUUUCACUCAGAUAACUCUGGUAACCUACAAUACCACAGCAAUUCUUACAGCAAGGAGACACAAUGGUGAACUGUCUUGCCUACCAAAAGUACAUUAGUUUUGCUUUAACACCAAGAAAAUGUAAGUUCUGAGAAACAUAACUCUGAAUUUGCCUGAUGACAAAAAUCAGUAAUGAAUUAUGCAGUACCCGUUCCCAAGCACAUACUAGAGGGCUGAUAUACAAAACAGCCCUCUUUGGCCUACCUCAGCCCUCCAGAACAGACUGGCAGACCUCUGGCUCUACACUGUGUAGGAGGGACCUACAUCAGAUUCAAACACAGCAGCAACAGGACUUACCAC